CCCUUAAGGACACAUGACAUGUGUGACAUGUCAUGAUUCCCUUUUAUUCCAGAAGUUUGGUCCUUAACGGGUUAAGGACCAAAUUUCUGGAAUAAAAGGGAAUCAUGACAUGUCACAUAUGUCAUGUGUGCUUAAG